rnacentral:rRNA from 1 species
AAUCAACGCUGGCGGCGUGCCUAACACAUGCAAGUCGAACGCGAAAGUCCCGCAAGGGAUGAGUAGAGUGGCAAACGGGUGAGUAACACGUGGGUGACCUGCCUUCGAGCGGGGGAUAACGUCCCGAAAGGGACGCUAAUACCGCAUGACAUCCUGCCUUUGAAGAGGUGGAGAUCAAAGCUGGGGAUCGCAAGACCUAGCACUUGAAGAGGGGCCCGCGUCUGAUAGCUAGUUGGUGGGGUAACGGCUCACCAAGGCAACGAUCAGUAUCCGGCCUGAGAGGGCGGACGGACACACUGGGACUGAGACACGGCCCAGACUCCUACGGGAGGCAGCAGUGGGGAAUUGUUCGCAAUGGGCGCAAGCCUGACGACGCAACGCCGCGUGGGGGA